UAAAAUGUCAAAAUAGCCCCGGCUGAAACUGCAAAAGAACAGCCUCUCCCGAGCCUUUGCCCCUCUCGCAUGUGUAUUAAUUCAUUAGCUUGAGGAUGCCUACACAGAUGGAUGAAGAACACUAGUCUCCAUGGGAACCAUUGAGGGAAAUUGUGUAAUGAAGUAAAGAAACUUUAAAGAAAGUUAAGCUGUAAAAUGUGAGACGGAAUAAAACUUCAGACACCCUCUGAAGGGAGCAACAACUCAGGCUGAGAGCACAGCAGCAAUAGAAGCCACAAGGAUCCUACAAAAGCUAUCGACACUCAGAUUUUGAUGAGUAAUUUCUGAUGGGCUAUUAGAUUGAAGACAAAGUUGACGACUGGCAUGCAUGGAUGGUGGAAACCUUGAAGACCUCACAGCUGAUUCUCCAGUGACUUAGUAAUGAUUUGAGACAGAUGUGAAAUGAAGGGUAUGACACAUUAUGAAGUACUCGGAAGCUUUGAAAAUCCAGGUCUUCUGUCCUCAGGUUUUAUAAGGAAAAAAGAUGAAUGAAAUUGUACUGAAGUUCUGUUGCAUUAAAUAAAGGGAAUUCAUUGAAGGGAAAUAGACCAUUGAUAUAUGAGUUGUUUGAGUGUUAUCAGAGUCUUUUUUCACUUGGAAUAUUUAGCCUAGGAGUAAGGCUGGAACAGAAAGAUAAAAGGAAAGAUAAAAGAACUCUUUCUUUACCUGGCCAAUUCCCUCAGUGGGAAACUGAAUCACUAUUGUAAGUUUGAUGAGGGCUUAAUUUAAGCACAAAAAUAUGGGGAGAAGAGGUUGGGAGUGUUGUGAGGACCUACUGAAAGGCAGUCAAGCAAAAAAGAAAAGCUAUCAUACUAGAAAAGAGUUCUUGGGUUUUAGCAUGGGGAUUGUUACUAGAAUGGAAAGAAUGUAAGACUGGCACACUGGGUCAGAUCAAUGGCCAUCUAGCCCAGUGUCCUGUCUUUUGACAGGGGCUGGUACCAGAUG